UGAGCCAGGUUGGUUUCUAUCUUUUAAUAAAGUAAAUAUUUUAGUACGAAAGGAUUAAAUAUUUUAAUUAAAUUAAAAUUGUUAUUUAUUUUGAAUAUUAUUAAAAAUUAAUUUUUAUAUUUGAUAAAAAAAAAAUUAUUUGUAUUUUUAAU
rnacentral:rRNA from 1 species